GUCGGAUUCGUAUAGUGGUCAGUACUCCACGUUGUGGCCGUGGCAACCUGAGUUCGAAUCUCAGAUCCGACA
rfam:Guillardia theta CCMP2712 unplaced genomic scaffold GTITHscaffold_43, whole genome shotgun sequence.